rnacentral:lncRNA from 1 species
GAGAGACAGAGGUAGAAUUCCAUCCUGGUUCUACUCUAGAAGCUUGAACUCUCAGUUGUAUUGGCCUCUUUGGAUGAUGGGCCUUCCCAGAAAGAUUAACUCCUCCAGUUUCCAUGUUUCCUAGAGUUUGAGUGAGAGCCUUCUAUGCACCAGGCUGCAUAUCCAAGACUGGUUCAAGGAUCAGGAGCAUGAUGAGCUAUUUUCUGACAAAAGGUAUUUGAUAUGAUUUCCUAAUUCCACAACAGAGGAAGCGGAGUCACUUGAUGAGGAUCUCAGGUCACUUGCUGAAGGUCCCACUGCCGACAAUGGGAAAAGUUAAAAAUGGAUAAAAAGGAAGGCGAGCCUGGUAACAUAGCAGUUAAGUUUGCAUGCUCUGCUUCCACGGCCUGGGGUUUGCCAUUUGUGAUCCCAGAUGUAGACCUACACACUGCUCAUCAAACCAUGCUGUGGUGGCAUCCCACAUACAAAAUAGAAGACUGGCACAGAUGUUAGCUCAGUGACAAUCUUCCUCAAGCAAAAUGCUGAAGCUUGGCAACAGAUGUUAGCUAAUGGCUAAUCUUCUUCACCAAAAAAAAAAAAGAAAAAAAGGAUAAAAACGUACAGCUGAAGACUGACAUUUUGAUGGAAUGAAAAACGAUGGAUUUCUAGGGGAAAGACUGGUUAUAUUAUUUUAUUAUAAUGCAUACACAUGUGUGUAUAAUACACACACAUGAGAUUAUAUAUUUAAGCCAUUAAUGUUUUAGGAUAAAAUGCUCAAAGCAUUUUCUCUCUAUAUUAUAUACAAUAUAUUAAUGCAGAUAUAUGUAUAUAUAGGCAGAUAUCUAGAUAUAGAGAUAGUAACUUUACACCACAAUAAUACUAGCACAGCCAUUUGGGGCUUACAAUAGUGAGCAUUCUAGUACACUAAGUGAAUGAAGCUGAAAUUAAACAGUGUCUCUAACAGAGUGCCUGUUACAUAGUGGAUACUCAGUAAGUAUUAGUUGUAUAAAUAAGUUUUUGCAUCAUUUUCUCCUUUAGUUGGCAUUUAUGGAUUACUUACUAUGUGCUUCACGUGAGCCCUAAAUGCUGCCUGGAAAGCUUUCUGUGUUCUAUCUCAUUUUGCAUACAGCUUUUUCAAAACUUCUUACCUGUCAUCAGACCUGUCCUCUCACUUAGCACUACCACCUCUGAUCAUAGCAUAUAAACUUGCCCACUAACUCACCAAGGAAGGAGGAAAACAAUCUAGUAAUGUUUUAACAGUUUUACUGCGUUAUAGUUAAUAUACCAAAAAAUUCACCCAUUGUAACUCUAAAUUUAGAUAACUUACAGGAAAUAUUUACAGUUGUGCAAACAUCACCACAAUCCAGUUUAAGAACACUUUUGCUAUCGAUAAAAGUUCUCUCAUGCUCAUUUUUUAACAGCUUUAUUGUCUAAUUGUCAUUAUUGUAUUGUAUUAUAACAGCUUUACUGUAUAAUAUAUUGUGUAAUUGUCAUAUAAUAAACUGUAUCUGUACAAUUUGGUGUUUUGACAUAUGUAUACACCUGUGAAACCAUUACCACAAUCAAGAUAAUGAAUAUAUCCAUCACUCCCCAAAAGUUCUUCUAUUAACCGUUUGUUAUCCCUCUUUCUUACCCCUCCCACUGCUCC